rnacentral:lncRNA from 1 species
UUUAUCUAUACCUAUGGGAUUCACAUGGGGAUUUUCUUGCUAAUUGUACCAUAAAAUAGUGUUUUUCCACUGAGUAAAUUUCAAGCAUCAGUGAGCUGUUGGCGAGAUGUUUAAAAGAAUGGUGUUUUCUUCAUAGUGCUUAUCAAGUCAAUCCAUGUUAGUUAUCACUUUGCAAAUUCAAUAUUGUUAAUACUUAAAAACAUAUUUUUUCCUAACACUUUUUUCUUAAAGGGUAAUUGCAAGAAAGAUUUUCCUCAAGACAUAGAACCUUCAUCAUCCGGAACGCAUUCACAAAGUCAGAAGUGUGAAAAGCCCUUGGUAGUAUUAGAGCUGGUACAUUUUUCUGUGGAAAGUUUGGAAAUAUCCUUAGAGACCCAAGUGGUGUUUGAUAAUUAACAGUUAAAUGUAGAACAAUUACUAAUUAAUAAGCUUACUUAAAAAUUCGGAACACAAGGUAAUACUGCUAAACAUAGACAUGCUGACACAUAAAAGGAAGAGGCGGAAGAGCAACAUAAGGAAGUCAGGAAAAUUCUAAAUGCUUUUCCUCUUGACAUCUUUCAAUUUACAGAAUAAUUUAAUUUUUAAUCAAAACCAAUUUUUCAUUGUAAAACAAAUGUCCCCAGGCCUUACAAUCCUGACAUUAUAAAUGGUUCAUAAACAUCUAGAUCUGGAUUUUACUAGCUUGAUACCCACUCCUCUAACACACACACAUGCAUAGACAACACUCCUGUGACCUACUUUCAUGAUUUCCUUCAUUUGGAAUUUUUCUGGGAACUCUGUACGUGGGAUGACUCAUCUGGUUUGAUGUUCCUCUUAGGCCACCCAUCACACCACUGUUCUGCUCUCUUCCCGGUCCCCAAUUGCUGCUUUCUUCAGUUCUAAUAGCCUUGUUCUGCAAUGGGCCAGUUCUCAGUGCUCAUCUCCAUAUGUUCCUCACCCUGCUGCUGCUCUUUCAUUGACACCAGCUCAAUA